rnacentral:lncRNA from 1 species
AGAAAUGGGUUUGUACUCACUUUCUUUUCUUGUCCCAGGUUGGCCUCUUCCCAGACCUCGGUGUCUGCCUCUGUGCAUCACGGUUCUGACGAGUGGGCCUGGGGUGACCGCAGAGCACAGGGGACGUUUCUGCCCCCAGGGAAGGUCGGCCUUGUCCCCGGGGCCCAGGGGGCCUGUGUUCUUAUUUGGGAAGAGCUCCUGAGCUUCCUGCCCCCAGCAGGCACCCGAAUGGCUUCUGCGGGCGGCGUGUAGACCAGGGACACUCCGUGUUGGGUGGAGGUGGGGUCAGGGGCCUCAAGAACACCAGGGACGUGGACCAAGCCGCUGGCCUGCUGCCCUUUAACCCCGGGGCCUCACGGGGCUCCAGGUCGGGCCUGUGACCACCCUGGAAUCUGGUGCCACCCCCUUGUCCCCCCCUCGCCUACACCCCAGCCGGGGGAGUGUCACCUGUCACCCGGCCCCCCUGCUCCCCCUCAGUCAGCGCUCCUGGGUGACAUAUUUAGACGGUUGCUGUGGUGAUGGCGAAGGCUGCGGCUGGCAGCCCCGGGAGGCGAGGUGCCUCUGCUGCGGGCUGGGUGCCAGCGUGGGCUGUGGGCCCGAGGCUGCCCGGCCACCCACGUGAUGCCCCGAGGAGCCGCAGUGGGCAGGGCUUGCCUGUGGUCAGUGCUGGGUCCCGCUGUCCCUGCCCUGGGGCACCCUCAGAGCAGGGUCUCGCUCUGAGCAGAUUCUGCUUCAGGGAGCCCCGGCCAUGUCUGGGGACAUUGGUGGCUGUCACGACUGGGGUGUCCUGGCAGAGUGGGGGGAGUUGGGGCCCAGGUGGUCACAGAGAACCUUCCAGCCUCGGUGUGCUGGGCCGGGAGCCCGUCCCCAGACAGCGCCGCCUGCUGGAGUCCGCAGUGGCUCGCGGCUGGGUCACCGUCCCUCCCCUUGGCCCAGCUGCUCUCACACUCCUCACCAUGGACAGAGCCAGGUCUCAGCAGAUGGUCAUCCUCGGGCGGAGGGGAGGCGGGACCCUGCAGACCCCAGAGCUGCUGGCCCCGCUGCUCAGGAAGGUGGCCGGGGAGGGCCACCUGGGUGCCUGCGGGUCCCCAGCAGCCAGCGCACCGUGGGCCUUCCACAUGGUGUCCCCAGGCGGGGACUUGGAGACAGCCUCAUGGGCACUUGUCUGGGGCAUCUCUCGGAGCCAGAGCCCAGGUGGGCUGGGGCUGCCGUGGCAAGGUCCUGCUGUCCCCUUGCCCUGGCUCAGCCCUUCACGGGGGACCUUGGUGAUGCCUGGGGACAGGUGGCUGUCAUGACGGGGAGGGGUGGAGCCCAGGGACGCUGCUCAGCCCCUGCAGGACCAGGACUGUCCCGUGUCCCUGGCUCCAGGGCUGCUGCUGUGUUCAAAGGGGGCUCUGGACAGAGGACGGUCCUGCCAGGAGGGCAGGAGGGUGUGCCAGAGAGGGCCGUGCCCAGUCUUGGCGUCUCUCUGUCCCUCUCCUUGCCGUCUGCCCUGGGGCCACCAGCUCCGUCCCUGUCCCCAGCCAGAGCCAGUCCCUUCCUGCUGGGGAGGGUCUGGGGCUCGCAGUGCCAGCUCUGUCCUCUGAGCUGUCACUUUGCCCUUGAGGAGGGCUGCCAAGGUCAACCGAGGCAGAGGGGCCUGGGGCAUUGCUGGCCCUCCAGGGUCCCUCGCUCUUCAGGCUGUCCCCUGUGCCACACAGUGGGCAAGGGUCCCCUUGGUAUUGCCCUGGCAUGUGGCCCCGUGUGUGAGCCAAAGGCCCCAAAGCUGGCCAGUCCCUGCCUCUGGUGGGGGGCUUGGCUUUAAAACAGGAUGCCCGUGGGCACGGGGCACCAGAGGCCCUGGCAGAGGGCCUGGUGGGUGCCGCCUGAGAGCCGUGCGCUCUGAGCCUGGGAUCCGGGACCUCUGCCGCGUGUGGGGGAGCGCCUGGGAGGGAGGGUGGGCGCCGUCUCGCAGGGUCCUGCCUGUGGGCUCCGGCCCCCCCCCCCGGGCACCGGCUGUGUAUCGGGUCACGUUCGCUGUGCUCAGACAGACCGCUGCUCCUGCCUGGCCGUCCUCCCCUCUCACGUCCUCAGCACCAGGUCCUCUGGGUGAGGUCCUAAUCUAAAAAGAAGAAAGAAAACGAAGCCCACAGACCAGACGGAUUGUCAGCAGCACUUCCCGGGACACAGUGGGGGGCAGGGGAGCACUGGGGUGUCCCCUGACGUCUGUUUCCUCAGAGUGACAGAUUGUCCCCUCGGGUCAUGGGGCCGGUUCUACCUGGCCUUCCUGCCCCGUUGCACCCGGCCCCACUCUUGGUCCAACCCGGUUCACACCCGCUGUCCAGCAGGGCCCCGCGGUCCAUCCUGCCCUGACUCUAGAGGUCCCCGCUCCGGGGCCUGGGGCUCCUCGUGGGAGACACGAGACAUGGACGCAGCGUUUCUGUCUGACUUGGGGGUGGGUGAGGGUCGACGGGACAGCCGGGCGCCAGCUGCUGCCCCACUGUCCCUCUCUCUGCCCGUCCCUCUCUCUGCCCCACUGUCCCUCUCUCUGCCCGUCCCUCUCUCUGCCCGUCCUUCUGCUCUGGGGUGCAGCCCCGGGGGCCUGCAGCAGCUGCCUGGUGGCUCAGGGACAGGUCAUGGGCAGGAGGGGAGGACAGGCUGGUGAGGAGCCGUCCUCUACAUGUUCAUGAGACAGACGCGUCUCAUGUCUGUCAAGAGGCAGAGGCUACCCAGGUGCCCGUCAGGGGACACACAGCAUGUUCUGUCCACUGGGAGAGUCCUCCAGGCAGGAGUGAGGUGACAGCUGCAGUGUGACACCUGAGGACCUCAUGGUCAGUGAGAGCCAGACACAGAAUGUGACCCAGCCACAGGGGGUCCAGAGUGGACCUGCGGGACAGGGCUGGGAGGGGCCGCUCGUGGGACGGGCUUCUUGGGGUGGCGGAAUGUUCUGGGCCGUGCAGGUCUGACUGCGCCCAGCAGUGCACUGCCCUUCCAGCGUCCAGACUGACCCCCUCUCUCCGGCCAGUGCCUGUGUCGCCCUGUUUCCUGGCGUGGACAGUGUCCCUGGUGGAUGAGAGGUGCACCAUCCCUCCUGCACUGUCCGCCAGCCCCCCCCCCCAGUCUGUGCGGAGCCACCAGUCUGCGCAUGGGUGGGGCCCGCGAGGCAGAGGCCUGGCGUCCCGGCCCCUUUGCCACUGACCCUGCUGACUGCAGCCCCUCCGCCGGCCCUGGUGUGGACGGGGUCCUGCAGGGUCCGGCCACCAGCGUCCCAGGGCGCCCCGCGUUCCUGUGGCACGGGCGCCACCUGCAGGCAGCGUGGGGGGCUGCGCUCUCCUGUCCUUGGGUGCAGAGGAGCCCACAUCCUCAAAGCUGUGAGUGGUUUUAAAAUCUGCUGUGACCUGGCCGUGGUGGCCACCCCUGUGAUCCCAGAGGCUCCGGAGGCUGCGGCAGGAGGAUCAAAAGUCCAAGGCCAGCCUCUGCAACAUAGCGAGACCCUGUCUCCAAAUAAAAAAUGAAAAGGGUCGGGGUCUGCUCAGUGGUGGAGCCCUGGCUCCCCUCCCUGGCUCCCCUCCCUGGCUCCCCUCCCUGGCUCCCCUCCCUGGCUCCCCUCCCUGGCUCCCCUCCCUGGCACCAGUAGUAAAUAAAUAAGCAAAUACACAAAAAGUGACUUUUAAUUUUAGAAUUUCAGACGAGCCUCUAAGGACACUGGGGCUUCCGUGCCCCUCAGAACGCAGCAGUCCCUUCCCGCCGGCAUCUUACCCAACCUCAGGGGAUUUGUGACAACCAGAACCCCUUGGGGACACGUUCCCAUUGCUGGACUCCACUGUCCUCGGACCUCUUGUUCUCCCCGUAUCCCUUCCCCGCCCAGCAUGGCACCUGGGACCGCGGCUCCUCUGGGCUGUGCACCCCGGUUCUCCCUACUUUCUGUGACCCGACAGUCUGGCCGGCUCCUGCCCCCUCUGGCCUGGGUGGGCCUGAGGUUUUCCAGAAAGACCAGGGCUCUGGGUUCUGGGAAAGUACUCAGGAACGAGUAGCCUUUCUCAUGUGUCAGAUCCCUUGGAGCCAGCACUAAUUGGGCCCCAGCUGUAUACUGGGGUUCCUAGGCCACCCCAGGCCUGGCGCCUGCUGGGGUCCUCAGGUCUCAGCAGGUCUCAGCACGGGCCGUUCUCCCAGCUGCGGUUCUUAGUGACAGGACCCAGAGCAGAGUCAGAGGUGGGAACCGCAUGUGGGGGCACUUGGGGACCAGGCAGGGCCUCCAGAGUCUCCUCCCAGGGAGUCCCACAGGGUGCACUUGGUCCCCACAACACACCUGUGGAAAGUCGCUGAGAGCUCACAGAGACCCAGCGCCUGGGGUCAGUGGGGGACACGCGGCCCCUCUGCCUGGCGUGUGCUGAGAUCCCAGAUCCAGAGGCGCCCAGGGGCUGAGCGGAAGCCACACUGUUGGCCCCACGGCUCAGGCCCAGGAGCCCCUCCUGUCACGGGGGGUGGAGUCCCCAGGGCCCGGUCCCCAGACGCUCAGGCCAGCCUCGGAGCUCGGCCUCAGGCUGCUCAGAGACCUGCUUGUCCCCACCUGCUCCUGGGGACCGAGGCUUGCUUCCCUGGACUGUGGACUUUGGUGGUAACUUGGGGAAGGGCAGGUGGACAGCACAUUUGCAAACAAGGAAGGCCGUGCAGCUGUCCACCCUGGCCGGGAGUCCUCUUCUCAGACGUGGAGACUUUGUUAGCGACACCUGGGGGAGGGGGACAACGCCCCUCGGGCAGGUGGCCCCUGGGGUUUAUCCUGCCCACAGGCCGAAGCCUCCCACUGGUCCCGCAGAAGGGCCCUGAAGGCAGGACUGGUGGGCCUCUGGCGUCCCCUGAGGGCAUGCCCCUCCGUGCCAACCCUGCGCCCACCUCCAGCACCUCCCACAAAGUGGUGCCAACUCACGCUGUGUUUCUCUUGCAGGAAGCGAGGGCUGGGUGACGGACGCGGUGGAGGGCGCUCCCGCACAGGUACGUGCUGCCACCUGCCCUUGGCUCUCGUGUUCCGUCGCUGCUCUUGAAGUCAGGCCGAGAGGGGAGUUGGGCGGCUGUCCAGGAGGCGUCCGCUGUGACCUGCCCUGUGUCCGGGGGCUUCUUACCACAAAGACUGUGCAUGAACAGUGGGGAACAGGGACUGUGCGGGGUUCCUCACAACGUGUCCUGCUGUGUGUGAAGCCAUGGCACUGGUGGGGCUGGUCCUCAAGAGCUCUGGACAGCGUCAGGACAGGGAGCACACGGCUGUGCCACCUGCCUUUUGGUCAUCUGAACUCCACCCCAGCAAGUUUUAAGAGGGAGCUUUUGUCCUGAGUGACCCAACAGUAGUCAUGGCCAAGGCCAGAGCUGUCUUUGAAUGGAAAGUGUAUUAGAAACUAGUCUCAGUCUGUUUUCUGUUGCUA